UAAGGAAUAUUGCUCAAUGGGAGAAAUCCUGAAGCAGCAACGCCGCGUGGAGGAUGAAGGGUCUAUGACUUGUAAACUCCUGUAAAGAAGGAAAAAAUUCCCAUUUGAUGGGAGAUGAUGGUACUUCUGGAGUAAGCCCCGGUUAACUACGUGCCAGCAGCCGCGGUAAUACGUAGGGGGCAAGCGUUGUCCGGAUUUACUGGGUGUAAAGGGUGCUCAGGCGGAUUUGUAAGUCAGAGGUGAAAUCUUGCAGCUUAACUGUGAAACUGCCUUUGAUACUGCAAGCCUAGAGUAUGGAAGAGAGUGAUGGAAUAUCUGGUGUAGCAGUGAAAUGCGUAGAUAUCAGAUAGAACACCAAUGGCGAAGGCAGUCACUUGGUCCAUUACUGACGCUAAAGCACGAAAGCGUGGGUAGCAAGCA
rnacentral:rRNA from 1 species